CGCACACAAAAAUCUUCUCCCCGGUCCGUCGGGUAGCAGACAUCACAUCCUUUUCCCGUACGGACGGUGCAAAGGUCGAGACGUGCACGGUCCAGAAUCUCUCCGACUACCGUCCGCUCGGCCCUCGCCCUGUGCACCACAGCUUCAGCUUUCCAGCAGACGACGACCGCAGCCACUCGAGCUCAAGAUUCUGUAUCACUCCAGUGAUGAGAUGAAUAUACCACCACCAGCUCGAAUCCGGAAUCCCACUCCGAGUCCGCCGUCAAGCCAGCCAUAGCUCGGCCGAAUGCAGGGCACCGUCAUCAGGCGCGCGCUCUGCCCGGCCAAGCUCCACCGCCACGUCCCGUCCAGCCUAUCCAGAGGCCUCUGCUGCCGCGGCGGCAGCGACACACGGUGCGGCGCCGCUGCGGGCAAGAGGGCGCGGGCCGUCGCGGCGAGAGCCCGCGGCGGCCCGGAGGUAGGAGAUGGCGACCAAGCGCCGCCGCUGCAGGAUGCCGUCGGAGCGUCACCGCCACCAGGUGGUGGCGGGGCGAAGAGAGGGAGCGUGGCUGGUGCCGUUGCGCUCAUUAUCGGAACGAGCAUCGGGUCAGGCAUCCUUGCCGUGCCGCAGAGCACCGCGCCCGCGGGCUUCGUUCCAAGUGCCGUGUGCAUGGUGGUCUGCUGGGCCUUCCUGGUGGCGGAAGCGCUCCUCAUCGCCGAGAUCAACGUCCACCUGCGUCGGAAGAGCAAGAAAGAUGGCGGCGAUGGCGCGGGCGUGGAGGUGAUAUCCAUGAAGAGCAUGGCGCAGGCGACGCUCGGCGAGUGGGGAGGGAACCUGGCCGCCACCGCCUACCUGUUCCUGUCCUACACCUCCAUGGUCGCCUACACGUCCAAGUCCGGCGAGGUGCUCUCCCGCGCGAUCGGCGUGCCCGAGCCCGUCUCCGGCGCCGCCUUCACCGCCGCGCUCGCGCUCCUCAUCGCCGGCGGCGGCACCGGCGUCACCGCCCAAGUGAACCAAGUGCUCACCUUCUUCAUGAUAGGGCUACUGCUGACGAUUGAAGUCUCUGCGGUGGCGUUCGGCGGCGGCCUGAGCCUGCCAGCGAGCGCCCACUGGGAGCAGGUCCCAGCGGCGCUGCCGGUGAUCAUCUUCACGCUGGUCUACCACGACAUCGCGCCAGUGAUCUGCGCAUACCUGGAGGGGGACCUGGCGAGGAUCCGGCUCGCGAUCCUCGUCGGGAGCCUGGUGCCGCUCGUCUCCCUGCUCGUGUGGGACGACGUCGCGCUCACCCUCGCCGCCUCCUCCACGGACCCCAACAGCCUCGGCAUCCUCGACAAGCUGGAGACAGAGUGGAGCUACGCGGUGGUCGAGACCUUCUCGCUCCUGGCUGUCGGGACCUCUCUCAUCGGGACCCUGCUUGCAGCGUCGCAGUUCUUCAUCGAGCAGAUGACCAAUCUAGCCCCCUCUGCAAAGAUCGACGAGGCCGCUUCUGAGGAAGAAGGAUCUACCCAGCUUGGCUGGCCAACAUUGCUGGAAAGCAACAGGCUCAGCUUCGUUGCCACAGGGGCGGUGGUCGUCCCAACCAUGCUCAUAGCAGCUGCCGUCCCAGAUUCAUUCUCUAUAGCCACUGACAUCGCCGUAAGUUUACAUCAAAGCAUGCACGCACCCUUCAAAUCCUGGGCCGCAGAUUGGCGGAGAAGUAGAGUGACACAUAAGCAAAGUUCCUCGUCAUGAAUUAUUGAUCGAUUGAUUGAUAGCUUGCUGCUCGUCUGGUUUCCACAUGUUUAGGGGGGCUACUGCAUGACCAUCUUGUACGGCCUUCUCCCCCCAUUGAUGGCCUGGUCUAUUGUCUCCAAAUUAUCCGAUCAGAAAGCUGGGCUUGAACAGGUAGAAGCAGCGUCCAGGGCUGGCAAAGAAAGAGUGAGCUUCACCGGUGCAAAGCCUGUGCUGGUGGGGAUGGGGGUGUUCUCCGUGCUCAUGGUCUUCCAGCAAAUCUUGCAAGACCUUGUCAGUUUUAACACUUAUCUCCUGUCAUGGGCUAGCUAGAGUAGGAAGAAGUAGCGAGUGCUGAAUAAGUCGAGAAUCUUUCUAGCCAUGGUUUGCUGAUUCGGGAGAGAAGAUCUUUAGAUUCAGCAUGUGAUGUAAACGGAGGCUGCCUGUAAACCCUCUGUAUCAGUGUACAUAACUUCUCCUUUUACCCCUAUUAGUUGAGUGGAGCUGCUCCUGGCUUCUCUUUCUUCUGAAAAAGAAGCAAACCGCAC
rnacentral:rRNA from 1 species